rnacentral:pre_miRNA from 1 species
CCAGAGUGCACUGAAAUUGUUAUAGUAGCCUACUAUAACAAUCUCAGUGCACUCUGG